rnacentral:rRNA from 1 species
AGGUGCUAAUACCGGAUAAGAAAGCAGAUCGCAUGAUCAGUCUUUUAAAAAAGGGCGGCGUAAGCUGUCGCUAUGGGAUGGCCCCGCGGUGCAUUAGCUAGUUGGUAAGGUAAAGGCUUACCAAGGCGAUGAUGCAUAGCCGAGUUGAGAGACUGAUCGGCCACAUUGGGACUGAGACACGGCCCAAACUCCUACGGGAGGCAGCAGUAGGGAAUCUUCCACAAUGGACGCAAGUCUGAUGGAGCAACGCCGCGUGAGUGAAGAAGGUUUUCGGAUCGUAAAGCUCUGUUGUUGGUGAAGAAGGAUAGAGGUAGUAACUGGCCUUUAUUUGACGGUAAUCAACCAGAAAGUCACGGGCUAACUACGUGCCAGCAGCCGCGGUAAAU